rnacentral:tRNA from 1 species
GUCUGGCUAGCUCAAUCGGUAGAGCGUGAAACUCUUAUUCUCGUGGUUGUGGGUUUGGUCCCCAUGUUAGGCU